ACAGUUCGGUCCAUAUCCGGUGUAGGCGUUAGAAUAUUGAGAGGAUUCUUCUUUAGUACGAGAGGAUCGAGAAGAACGUACCGCUAGUGUACCAGUUAUCAUGCCAAUGGUAAAUGCUGGGUAGCUAUGUACGGAGUGGAUAACCGCUGAAAGCAUCUAAGUGGGAAGCCCACCUCAAGAUGAGUAUUCUUAUCUAGAAGAUAUAAGGUUACGGCAAGACUAGCCGUUUAAUAGGUACCAUGUGAAAGUACAGUAAUGUAUUGAGCAGAGGUAUACUAACAAACCGAAUACUUGAAUUC
rnacentral:rRNA from 1 species